UGGGGAAUAUUGGACAAUGGGCGAAAGCCUGAUCCAGCCAUGCCGCGUGUGUGAUGAAGGUCUUCGGAUUGUAAAGCACUUUAAGUUGGGAGGAAGGGCAGUAAGCUAAUACCUUGCUGUUUUGACGUUACCGACAGAAUAAGCACCGGCUAACUCUGUGCCAGCAGCCGCGGUAAUACAGAGGGUGCAAGCGUUAAUCGGAAUUACUGGGCGUAAAGCGCGCGUAGGUGGUUCGUUAAGUUGGAUGUGAAAUCCCCGGGCUCAACCUGGGAACUGCAUCCAAAACUGGCGAGCUAGAGUAUGGUAGAGGGUGGUGGAAUUUCCUGUGUAGCGGUGAAAUGCGUAGAUAUAGGAGGGAACACCAGUGGCGAAGGCGACCACCUGGACUGAUACUGACACUGAGGUGCGAAAGCGUGGGGAGCAAACAGG
rnacentral:rRNA from 1 species